rnacentral:rRNA from 1 species
UACAGAGACUGCAAGCGUUAUUCGGAUUCACUGGGCGUAAAGGGUGCGCAGGCGGCCAGGUGUGUCAGGUGUGAAAGCCCGGAGCUUAACUCCGGAAUUGCGCCUGAAACUACUUGGCUAGAGCAUUGGAGAGGGUAGCGGAAUUCACGGUGUAGCAGUGAAAUGCGUAGAUAUCGGGAGGAACACCGGUGGCGAAGGCGGCAUCCUGGACCGACACUGACGCUGAGGAGCGAAAGCCAGGGGAGCAAACGGG